rnacentral:rRNA from 1 species
UGGAAGUAAAAAGUCGUAACAAGGUUUCCGUAGGUGAACCUGCGGAAGGAUCAUUACCGAGUGAGGGCCCUCUGGGUCCAACCUCCCACCCGUGUUUAUCGUACCUUGUUGCUUCGGCGGGCCCGCCUCACGGCCGCCGGGGGGCAUCUGCCCCCGGGCCCCGCCCGCCGAAGACACACAAACGAACUCUUGUCUGAAGAUUGCAGUCUGAGUACUUGACUAAAUCAGUUAAAACUUUCAACAACGGAUCUCUUGGUUCCGGCACGAUGAAGAACGCAGCGAAAUGCGAUAAGUAAUGUGAAUUGCAGAAUUCAGUGAAUCAUCGAGUCUUUGAACGCACAUUGCGCCCCCUGGUAUUCCGGGGGGCAUGCCUGUCCGAGCGUCAUUGCUGCCCUCAAGCACGGCUUGUGUGUUGGGCUCUCGCCCCCCGCUUCCGGGGGGCGGGCCCGAAAGGCAGCGGCGGCACCGCGUCCGGUCCUCGAGCGUAUGGGGCUUCGUCACCCGCUCUGUAGGCCCGGCCGGCGCCCGCCGGCGAACACCAUCAAUCUAACCAGGUGACCUCGAUCAGAGACC